rnacentral:rRNA from 1 species
AGAGUUUGAUCAUGGCUCAGGACGAACGCUGGCGGCGUGCCUAAUACAUGCAAGUCGAGCGCGGGAAGCAUGAAGAACUCUUCGGAGUGACGCAUGUGGAACGAGCGGCGGACGGGUGAGUAACACGUGGGCAACCUGCCUGUAAGACGGGGAUAACUCCGGGAAACCGGAGCUAAUACCGAAUAAUUUGGGUCACCGCAUGGUGACCGAAUGAAAGAUGGUUUCGGCCAUCGCUUACAGAGGGGCCCGCGGCGCAUUAGCUAGUUGGUAAGGUAAUGGCUUACCAAGGCGUCGAUGCGUAGCCGACCUGAGAGGGUGAUCGGCCACACUGGGACUGAGACACGGCCCAGACUCCUACGGGAGGCAGCAGUAGGGAAUCUUCCGCAAUGGACGAAAGUCUGACGGAGCAACGCCGCGUGAGUGAGGAAGGUUUUCGGAUCGUAAAGCUCUGUUGUUGGUGAAGAACCCUCCUGUGAGGAAAUGCACAGGAGUUGACGGUAGCCAACCAGAAAGCCCCGGCUAACUACGUGCCAGCAGCCGCGGUAAUACGUAGGGGGCAAGCGUUGUCCGGAAUGAUUGGGCGUAAAGCGCGCGCAGGCGGCUUCUUAAGUCUGAUGUGAAAGCCCACGGCUCAACCGUGGAGGGUCAUUGGAAACUGGGGAGCUUGAGUACAGGAGAGGAGAGUGGAAUUCCACGUGUAGCGGUGAAAUGCGUAGAGAUGUGGAGGAACACCAGUGGCGAAGGCGGCUCUCUGGCCUGUAACUGACGCUGAGGCGCGAAAGCGUGGGGAGCAAACAGGAUUAGAUACCCUGGUAGUCCACGCCGUAAACGAUGAGUGCUAGGUGUUAGGGGGGACCACCCCUUAGUGCUGAAGUCAACACAUUAAGCACUCCGCCUGGGGAGUACGACCGCAAGUUGAAACUCAAAGGAAUUGAC